UGAAAGCUGUACUGAAUGAUGAUCCAGAAUGGGACAGUGACAUGGCUUCUCUACUUGUCCUGCUGGAUCUUCUUACUCCACAAUCAGCUGGAAGAAAGCAGCCCAAGAAGAUCAGUGUUGGAGAGGCAACAUAUCAUCUGGUGAAAUUUCAUAAGUCAUGCCAAAGUCUUGAUGAUCAUCUCCUGACCACUAAUGGAAACCCUCAACCAUAUCUUCUUGCUUCAGGGUCUUCAAAAGCACAGGUUUCCACAUUUUACAUUGUCUUGGACAGAAAAGGUUUGCCUUGUCAGUCAUGUACAUCCUUGGGUACUUUUGACUGAGCAAGUCCAAUUUUGUUUUCAGUGUGAAUGAUCAUAAUGCUCUGUCCAGCCUGUACACAUGUUUGCAGACAACUAUGUACAAAAUUGAUAUAGAUACAGCUGAAGAAACUCCAAAAGUCAAAGAACUGAGAGCAAGGCUGUUGAACAAGCAGUAAUUGUCUUAUUCAACCAAAAUGUUAAGUUGUUUCCUCUGCACUUCAUCCUUUGGUUCAGCUUUGCAUUUGU